rnacentral:rRNA from 1 species
GAACCAGCCAAGUAGCGUGCAGGAUGACGGCCCUAUGGGUUGUAAACUGCUUUUGUAUGGGGAUAAAGUCAAUCACGUGUGAUUGUUUGCAGGUACCAUACGAAUAAGGACCGGCUAAUUCCGUGCCAGCAGCCGCGGUAAUACGGAAGGUCCGGGCGUUAUCCGGAUUUAUUGGGUUUAAAGGGAGCGUAGGCUGGAGAUUAAGUGUGUUGUGAAAUGUAGACGCUCAACGUCUGACUUGCAGCGCAUACUGGUUUCCUUGAGUACGCACAACGUUGGCGGAAUUCGUCGUGUAGCGGUGAAAUGCUUAGAUAUGACGAAGAACUCCGAUUGCGAAGGCAGCUGACGGGAGCGUAACUGACGCUGAAGCUCGAAGGUGCGGGUAUCGAACAGGAUUAGAUACCCUGGUAGUCCGCACAGUAAACGAUGGAUGCCCGCUGUUGGUACCUGGUAUCAGCGGCUAAGCGAAAGCAUUAAGCAUCCCACCUGGGGAGUACGCCGGCAACGGUGAAACUCAAAGGAAUUGACGGGGGCCCGCACAAGCGGAGGAACAUGUGGUUUAAUUCGAUGAUACGCGAGGAACCUUAACCCGGGCUUGAAUUGCAG